GUGAUAAUCUAACUGCGAGUGAUAAUUUCUAUGUGUGUUUGCAUGUGGGGAAGAUGAUCUUGUCGGGCACGGUGGUCCAAUUGUAACUUGCCGAGACCAACGAGUACGCGUUCAUAAGUCCAAAGCCGAAACGUGAGUUGAACCAAAAUCCAGCCGAGUUUCUGAACCAGCCAGGAUUCUCUCUGAAAAU